UACGUAGGGGGCAAGCGUUGUUCGGAUUUACUGGGCGUAAAGGGCGCGUAGGCGGCGCAACAAGUCACUUGUGAAAUCUCCGGGCUUAACCCGGAGCGGUCAAGUGAUACUGUCGUGCUAGAGUGCGGAAGGGGCUACUGGAAUUCUCGGUGUAGCGGUGAAAUGCGCAGAUAUCAGGAGGAACACCGGUGGCGAAGGCGGUUCUCUGGGCAUUACCUGACGCUGAGGAGCGAAAGUGUGGGGAGCGAACAGG
rnacentral:rRNA from 1 species